UUAUUUAUUUUAGUUGGUGUUUGUAGACGCAUUUUAACUUUUAUUCCUUUAUUCUAUUUAUUCUUCUUUACAUAUAAAAGUGUGAGUGGAGUUUUCGAGUCCUUUCGAGAUCUUUUUUUGUUUUCCAUGAUUGAAAUGAAGAUGACAGAGUUUCAGUAAAAAAGAAAACUGAACAAAAACACAGAAAAAUGUAAAUGCUGCUUGUCGUACUGACACUGGGGACGAACGUGGGAUUUUAAUUUCAGAGCAGUUGUUGGUGUGUUUUGUUUUUCCUGCAGCAGCAGUAACAGCAUCAGCAUCAGCAGCAGUAACAGCAUCAGCAGCAGCAGCAGCAGCAGCAGCAGCAGCAGCAUCGCUCUGGCACAGUCAGGAACUAAAGAGGAAGGAGCUGCUGUCAAUAAUCACAGUGAUACAGCGGUGCGAGGAAGCUGUGAGCUGUUAUUUGUCCGUCAGCCAAGAGAAAAAAACCUCAGCGUCUGAGUUACUUUUCUGUGCCAAGAACACGAGCUCAGACAAAUGUGGAGGACGGCGCUCGCCACGGACGAAAGACAUGAACACGGGGAAGAGAAGAGGAAACAAGACGAACACACAAAACAACAGCUGGCAAACAAUCGUUCAUCUGCCCGUGAGAAAGUUCUCUUUCCAAAACACCAACAGCUUCAUAAAGAAAGGGAUCUGGAGCUGGUCUCAGACCAGAUGGGCCGCCGGGUCCCCCAGUGAGUUCUGGGUCUGUUCUGAGUCUCGUUCCCCGCUGGAGCUGGGACGGGUCCAAAAAAACACGGAGGAGGAAAAAGUCCACGGGGAGACGAGAGACGACGACGGUUCUGCUCCGAGCUGCUGCCGUUAAUCUUUAAUCUGAGCUCAUCAGCUGUGAACUUCAACAAGAGAUUCAUUUAUAUUCAAGAAAUAAUCCACACUUCAGUCUGUGACUCUCUGACAGUUUCUUAUCUAAACUAUUUUUCUUUCAUUUAAAAAAAGUUUUAGUCACACAUUCACGCAUUAUUUUUGCAUAAAAAAAACUGUAGUUUUUUACAGUGUUUGAUGACAUGUGACUUCGUGGAAGAAGUCAAAAGUCAAAUCUAAGCCUGAAAAUGACGCUGUCCUUUUAAAUUGAAAGUGCUUUAAUGUUAGCUAAUGUUAACAAGUUAGCAUGAUGUAGCAGAAAAAAAUUAAAAUAGACUAACAGGCUCCGCCUUUUUGGAAAAUGUCAGAACUCGUAACAGUGUAACACCAAUUUUAACUCUGUUGCUCUUAAUUUAAUGCUAAAAAAAUUUAAUUUUAAAACUUCAGAUUAUAUUGAACACUUUUAGUUUUAAGUUUAUACUAAAAUAUUCAAAUUUAACACUAGUGGAUUAAAUUUUAUUUGGUGAUUGUUUUACAGUGUAACACCAAUGUAUCUCUGGAUUAGUGUUAAAUUGAACUCUUUGGGCCAAAUCUGAUUGCUGGAAUAAAAACAACUUCAGGUUUAUUUCACAGUUUACAUUACCACUAAAAUAGUUAAAUUUUACACUAAUCCAUGUUGGAUUUAAUCUAAUCUGGUAAAUGUGACUGUGUUGUAUCUGAACUAUUGUUUUUAUACGUGUUUUUUUGUAUUUAAUUGCGAUGUUUCAGAUGGUUUUGAGUGUAAACACAGUCUGUGUGUCGACGUCGCGCUGCUCUGACACUUUGACUCAAGUGUUUAAUCUCAUUUAAUCCCCCCCUCUCUCUCUCUCUCCCUCUCUCUUAUCUUUCUGCUUCAUGAUGUUUGUUUACAAAUCUUCUUUUUUUUUUUUUGUUGACAGUGAAACACAUGUGAGAACCGCGUGGACUCCACUCCAAACCAAAUCCUCUUUACCGUCGCUAUCAUGGACUUUAAUCUAAUCCAGUCUCGUCUUCACACAGUUUUUUUUUUUCAUUCUCGUACGUUUGUUUUCCCACAAACUGAAGAGAACUGUGGAGAAAAAAAAAGAGAGAAAAUCUCUGUCAAAAUGGCCAAAGCUGAUAAAUCCAGAUAAUCUCUUUAGUCCACAGAUCUUCAGCUGCAGCAGCAGCGCACUGUAAAAAAUCAAACAUAAUCUGUGUAUCAUGUAAAUAUGGAUUAAACUUUAAAGGUUGGAGCUCA